UCUCAUUUCAUACACAACGAAGCCAAACAGAUUGGGGAAGAAGAACUCCCUAACCCUCAUCAAACCAUCUCACUGCCAUAACUUUUCCGUUUGAGUUCCGAUCGCCGCACCGUUUGCGGCCACGUGUCCAGCGCGUCGAGCUCUACAUUUCUUUCAGAUAAAUUUUAUUGGUUUGAUUUAGCUUGUGGAGCUUACUGGGUUUGAGUUGCUACGCGUGUGGGAGCGGUGUGAAUUAAGUUCAUAUAUAUGCAUUGGAAUUGAAAAUUGAGUAUUUGGAGGCUUAUGGGUGAUUGAAGCUUGGUUUGUGGCUGGUUUCUUUGAGCUUGGGGGCUGUGUUCUAGCUUGUGAGGCUGCCUUGGAUUGAAUAAAGUGAUCGGCCAAGGUAUGGUUUAGGUUUCGCGUGUUUAACAUAUAAGAUUUUGUGAAAACUUAGGUUAGGGGACCAUAGGCUAAGUUGAAAUGGAUAAAUGAAUGAAAUGAUUAGUUGUGUGAUGAUGUAGGAUAAAUUUAUGAUUGAGUUUGUAUUGGAAUUUAUGAGUAUGAGUUGCUGGUAUUGUUGAAUAUGUGUGAUUAUAAAUAUUAAUGUUGGGUUGAUGAUGAUGUUGAUAUGAGUUAAUUGAAUUUGGUGGUAUGACUUGUUUAAUUAGUUGAAGGUGGAUUAUGAUAUGGUAUUAAUGAAUGAAGGUAAUAGACUAAUGAAUUUUAAUAUGAAAGUUAUGGAUGGAAUGGGUGAAUUCUUUGAAUAAUGCACGGGUUUUAUGAAUUGGUAUGAAUAUUAAUGUGAUAGUGGAUAGGAUUAAUAAAAUGGAACUUGUUAUAUAAUGGAGGUGCAGGUUUUGAUGGUAAGGAACAUGAUUUUGGUGAAAAUGAGGUUUGGAUGUGGGUUGGUAAAAAGUGAAUUUUUGUGAAUUUUGGAAGUCCAUAACCUGCUCCUCAAAUUUUGGAUGGAAUUGGGUUUAUUUCAAAUGAAAGAUGGUUUUAUAAGCUUUUGAACGAUAUCAAUUUUGUGAAAAACGGAAUUUUGUAGAGAAAAUUAUAGACGGCGGAAGUUUAGUAUAAAAACUGUGCACAGGAUAACAAAAUCUGGUUUGUAGCAGCUUUCUGGGCAUUCUGCCAAUUUUGGGAAAACGUCCAUCCACGCGUACGCGUGGUGUGGCAUUUUGACGACGCAUGCGCGAGUAGCCAUGUGUGCGCGUGAGAGGCCAAUGCGCAUGAUCACGCAUACGCAUGAUCACGCGUACGCGUGACGUGCUAUUCUCACCAUGCGUGCGCGUGGCCCCUGUUUGCUGCAAAACUGGAUUUUAACAUUUUAAAUCAGAUUUUCACUUCUAAACCUCCAUUUCCUCCUUUUUAAACUUAAGGUAUAGUGCUAAGUUCAGUAGCUAGUUGAAACUAGGAAAAUAAGCUAACUUGGAAGUGAAGUAAGAGGUAAAUGAUGACUUAUAUGACAGAGAUGAGAAUAUUAAAAGAAGUUUAAUGUCAUGGCUUGAUAAAUGAUUAUAUAUUGAUUAUGAAAAUGAAAUGGCUUAUGAGAAAUGAUAUCUGAGAUACGAGUUUUCCUGGGUAAAAACUGUGACUUGCCACCACGUGUUCGAAGUCGAAACUCGA